CGACACCGGCCUGGGCUGGGCGUGUCCCACACCCUCCUCUGCUACAGGCGGAAGGGGGCCUUCCGGAAGCUCAGAGUAUCUGGCUUCCAGCACUGGGCCCACGUGGAGAUGGAGGUGGGGAGGCAGAUUCCGAACAGGAGACUUGGAAGGUAGAACUGAGGACCCAGAGGAUGUAGCGGCUGGAAGAGGGCUCUGCACACCUUUCCUGUGCUACCGCGGUGGCCCUGGCAUCCUCAUAAGACAGACCACAUACAUGUUUAAGGAUAUAAGACUCAAAGGAAGAGCCCCCUACGACAACCCAGGAAAUGUUGCUUCCUGCUCUUGAAAGCCAUCACCAAACAGAGCUGAUGUGCCAUGAACAUAGGUGGCUCAGAUGGUAAGGAGUCUGCCUGCAAUGAGGAAGACCUGGGUUUGAUCCUGGGUGGGGAAGAUCCCCUGAAGGAGGAAA
rnacentral:lncRNA from 1 species